rnacentral:rRNA from 1 species
CAGCACCUCAAGUGGUCAGGAUGAUUAUUGGGCCUAAAGCAUCCGUAGCCGGCGCUGUAAGUUUUCGGUUAAAUCUGUACGCUCAACGUACAGGCUGCCGGGAAUACUGCAGCGCUAGGGAGUGGGAGAGGUAGACGGUACUCGGUAGGAAGGGGUAAAAUCCUUUGAUCUAUUGAUGACCACCUGUGGCGAAGGCGGUCUACCAGAACACGUCCGACGGUGAGGGAUGAAAGCUGGGGGAGCAAACCGGAUUAGAGACCCGAGUAGCCC